CCGGAGCACAAAUAAAUAAGCACUAAAUUAUUGUAAAAUAUUGUCAAUGCACUAAAGAAACCAGAAUUGAUCUUCAAACAACAUCUUAUUACUUCAGAAGUAUCAAAGUACAUUUAAUUACAUCUUACCUAAAAAAAUCAAGUACAAAAAUGAAAAGAAAAUUAAUAUGUAUUUAUACUGUGUAUAUAGAAACGGCUAAUAAUAUAUGAUUACAGUUAGCCUCUAGCUACUCCUUAGUCCUACACAAUCUCAGGCACAUACCUGACAAUUUCUAAUGAAAUAUAAAAAAAAGCAACAUGACAUUCAGUUUCAAGAUAUUGGUAAAUGUAUUACAUUGGAAUGAACACAGAAUGAUUUCAUUUUAUUUAAAAACCCUGUCAUUUAAAAACAUAGUGCCAUUGUCCACUUAAAAAUAAACAACCCAAACCAAAAAACCCCAUACUAUUUUAUACCAUUUGCUUUAAUUUGUCAAAAGGAGCAAUAAAGUAGACAUACAUUGGCUAAUAUACGUAAACACAUUUUUAGUGCAAGAAUAACAAGACCUGUGACUUUACUGUGCUUUCUUGAAAUCACAGUGCACCUUACACAAAUUGCUACACUAUAAUGUUUAACUUCAGGAGUUUAAAGCAAAAUAAGUGCAUACCAAACAAUUUCAUAUAUACAGUCUCCAUAAGUGUGUGUAUAUAUGUGAUCUGUAUGUAUAUACAGAUUGCAUAUUUAUACAGACUACAGCUUUAAUGACCGUGUGUAACCAAGCACUGUCAUUCACCCUGUGACACAGAAGCUGCUGAGACAAGAGGAGAUGUAGGAGAUGUGUGACAGCAUUGUGAUGGCAGCUCUCGGCAGGACGAUGUGCCUUUUACUCGAGCCAUGGGGUGGGCCAGCAGUCAUGGGACAGGGCAGUGGCUGUGUCCUGCUCUGGCUCUGUCCCUGACCUUUGGAAACUGUUCUGCCUGAGCCUCACGUCCCUCUUCAGUAAAACGGCUCUUGCAAGCAUGAGGUUUACUUCACAUUUCUAAAGUGCUUUGAAGGAUUGCAAGCCAAUUCCAGAAGCAGCCAGGAAGAAGAAACGGCAUAGCCGGGAGAAUGUGUUACGUGGGCUUCUUCUUCAAAACGGCAUGAAAUCAAGAGGGAUUUCCCAACAGCCUUUCAAGGGGUCUGAAAUCUGAAAUCCAGCCCACAGAAACAACAUGAGGAAAUCUGACAUGGCGUGAGCACUGUACUGGUGUGUUUUUUCCUAGGAAGUUCACCACCUGCAGAGGCAACGCUUUUUUUCAAUCAUGUCCAGCAUCGUAUGGUCCCCUUGCAACCACUGCAUGCACGUCACCUAUUGGGGGAGGUGGAUGGAGGAAGAAAAAAAAAGAGGGAAAAAACAUACAAAUAACUGUCUUGGUCAUAGAUUAAAUAUGCUUUUUCUUUGAAAAGUUAACUUACUCUUAUUUGAAACACUCUAAUUUUACGAAUAAAGAUCUCAAUGCCAACAACAGAAACAGAGCUAGUCUUUACUUCUAACUACUUCUUUAAGAAACAAAAGGGUAAUAGAAGAUCCCAGUUUUAACUUCUCCAGAGCACUAAAACCUAAUAAAGAUAAAUGGUUUUGGUAAUCUAGCAAUGGUUGGAUUUUAAAUGGUAGAAUAGAUCUUAAAAAGGCACAUGGAUCUUAACAACAUCCUUAAGUUGUGGAAAUAAAAAAUUCUACACACUGAAACCCACGUUUUAUAUUGCUUUCCAAAUCCAAUCUGUCACAUUAAAAGCAGGGUGUUAACAUUUCUGAGUAUCAAGCUAAAUAUAACUGUUAAAUUUUGUUAAAAUGAUUUAAUGAACUCCAUGCAAAUUAUAUGGAUUAACCUAUCCUACUCUGUGAUAUUUCAUUAACUGGAAGGCACAAGAGUUAAGAAACCCCAUGUUUUCAUGCAUGUGGAAUACUGGAGAAUGUGAUCCUGAUCCAAAAGGGGAGGUUAGCAUAUGUUUAGCUGUAAGUACAUGCCACAGCCCCUCUGAAGCUGAGAAUGUGACUUCAUUUGAGUUCAGCGGGGAGUUCACAAUUGAAAAUGUGUCUUCAGAGGCUUUAGACUGGAAGAGAAAUCACUAAUAAUAAAUUCUUUUGAAAGGGCUCAUUGGUUUUGGACAUCACUGUAUACCUGCAGCUCAGAAAACUUCCUCUGAACACUUACUUUGCAAAUGUGAAGUGAUGUCUUGAAAGUCCCCACAUUUUUUCCCAAGGGUUAAGGAUUUGUGUGUAAGUAAAUGCACACGGUACAUUCACAGGGGCUGUCCAGGUACACCUCUGCUCUUGUAAUGAGAAUGAACAUGUACAGCAAUACUUUGGUACAAUUUGUGUUCGUGAAGGAAAUGUAUAUUUAUUAUUAAGGGUAUUUGAAUACAUUUAAUAAUGCAUAUGCCUUUCAUUCACAAGUCUUAGAAUGCCAAGCAUGGGCAUACACCAAGACCCUAGAACUGG